rnacentral:rRNA from 1 species
UACAGAGGUCUCAAGCGUUGUUCGGAUUCAUUGGGCGUAAAGGGUGCGUAGGCGGCUUGGUAAGUCGGAUGUGAAAUCCCGGGGCUCAACCCCGGAACUGCAUUCGAUACUGCUGAGCUAGAGUACUGGAGAGGAGAUUGGAAUUUACGGUGUAGCAGUGAAAUGCGUAGAUAUCGUAAGGAAGACCAGUGGCGAAGGCGGAUCUCUGGACAGUUACUGACACUGAGGCACGAAGGCCAGGGGAGCAAACGGG